rnacentral:rRNA from 1 species
GAUGAACGCUGGCGGCGUGCCUAAUACAUGCAAGUCGAGCGAACAGACGAGGAGCUUGCUCCUCUGACGUUAGCGGCGGACGGGUGAGUAACACGUGGAUAACCUACCUAUAAGACUGGGAUAACUUCUGGAAACCGGAGCUAAUACCGGAUAAUAUAUUGAACCGCAUGGUUCAAUAGUGAAAGACGGUUUUGCUGUCACUUAUAGAUGGAUCCGCGCCGCAUUAGCUAGUUGGUAAGGUAACGGCUUACCAAGGCAACGAUGCGUAGCCGACCUGAGAGGGUGAUCGGCCACACUGGAACUGAGACACGGGCCAGACUCCUACGGGAGGCAGAAGUAGGGAAUCUUCCGAAAUGGGCGAAAGCCUGACGGAGCAACGCCGCGUGAGUGAUGAAGGUCUUCGGAUCGUAAAACUCUGUUAUUAGGGAAGAACAAAUGUGUAAGUAACUAUGCACGUCUUGACGGUACCUAAUCAGAAAGACACGGCUAACUACGUG